GUGUGUAACAACCCACCUGCCGAAUGAACUAGCCCUGA
rnacentral:rRNA from 15 species